rnacentral:tRNA from 1 species
UCCCUGGUGGUCCAGUGGUUAAGACUCCACACUUUCACUGGUAAAGGCCCGGGUUCGAUACCUGGUUGGGGAA